AAAAAAGACAAACCUGAAUUUUCUUGUCCAACGUUUGACUGUUCAUGUUAUAUGAAAUUUUUUAUAAUUACUAUUUUCAUUGUUAUUAGAUGAUAAAUCAUGAUUAAUGCUUUAUGCGUGACUUGUUUUUUUAAUUUUUUUUAUAAUUUUUUUAAAUAAGACGGACGGUCAAACGUUGGACACGGAAACUCAGGGUUUGCCUUUUU
rfam:Oryza sativa Japonica Group DNA, chromosome 8, cultivar: Nipponbare, complete sequence.